GCGGUGGUAAACAAGCCACAUCCAAGGAGUUCAAAAAUUCAGUUUGAUAAUUAGUGGCUUCUUCUUCGUUUGUUACGCAGUCGAUAGAUUUGAAUGAAUACAGACCGCCAUAAUUGCUCGCUCACUUAACCGUUUAGUAUUUUUGUGGUUAGCAAUGAUAUACGGAAAUACUUUGUUGAUAAGCUUAUCUUUUGAUGACACGGAAUUGCA